rnacentral:rRNA from 1 species
UACAGAGGGUGCGAGCGUUAAUCGGAAUUACUGGGCGUAAAGCGCGCGUAGGCGGCUUUGCAAGUCGGGUGUGAAAUCCCCAGGCUUAACCUGGGAACUGCAUUCGAGACUGCAUUGCUAGAGUAUGGGAGAGGGAAGUGGAAUUUCCGGUGUAGCGGUGAAAUGCGUAGAUAUCGGAAGGAACACCUAUAGCGAAGGCAGCUUGCUGGGACGUUACUGACGCUAAGGCGCGAAAGCGUGGGGAGCGAACAGG